rnacentral:rRNA from 1 species
GAGUUUCAUCCUGGCUCAGAAUUAACGCUGGCAGAGUGCAUAACACAUGCAAGUCGAGCGGAGUACGUAGCAAUACGUACUUAGCGGCAGACGAGUGAGUAACACGUAGAUAAUCUGCCCUUCAAUGGUGGAUAACUAGCCGAAAGGUUAGCUAAUACACCGUAUACUUCCCUGGGGGCAUCCUCGGGGAAAGAGAGGCCCGCAAGGGUCGUUGAAGGAGGAAUCUGCGGCCCAUCAGCUAGUUGGCGGUGUAAUAGACCACCAAGGCUACGACGGGUACCCGGCCUGAAAGGGCGGACGGGCACGAUGGCACUGAGACACGGGCCAUACUCCUACGGGAGGCAGCAGUGGGGAAUUUUGGACAAUGGGCGAAAGCCUGAUCCAGCAACUCUGCGUGAGGGACGAAGGUCUUCGGAUCGUAAACCUCUUUUGCUAGGGGCGAACACCCGCAAGGGUUUGACGGUACCUAGCGAAUAAGCCACGGCUAACUAUGUGCCAGCAGCCGCGGUAAGACAUAGGUGGCAAGCGUUAUUCGGAAUUACUAGGCGUAAAGCGAGUGUAGGCGGGCGCUUAAGUCCGACGUUAAAUCUCCAGGCUUAACUUGGAGCUGUCGUCGGAUACUGGGCGUCUCGAGUGAGGUAGGGGUGGCGGAAUUCCGGUGUAGCGGUGAAUGCGUAGAAUCGGAGGACACUAUGCGAAGCAGCACUGGCCUUAUGACCUAGAUCGAAGUGGGGAGCACAGAUAGAUACUGUAGUCACUGUACGAGAACUAAGUGGAGUAGACCCUCGGCUCCUACCAUAGUUCGCUGGAUCGNCCAGUAAUCAGAUGAGGCGACACGGACUGGUAUCACUCCAACUCUGUCACAUAAAUUGACUGACCAGAUACAGUUGUGCCCGCGAUGUACC